GCGGCGAGGACCGCGGGGUCGACGCGUAGUCCGCGGAAGCGCUUGGGAUGCUGCGGAUGCCGCGGGGUCCGAAGCGAGGUGUCCACGAAAGGUGUCGCUGCUGCCCCGGGAAAGCGUUUCGUCUCCUGACUCCUCGCUUAGCGUUCCGUUGGCCAUGCUCCGUCCACUGAACGUCAGUAAAGCCUUGGACACUCCCUUCGGAGAGGUAGCUCCUUCACAUUUUUAACACCUGGCCCCCACUGGGACUUCACUUUGAAAAGAAAACGAAGAGCAAAAGAUGAUGAUGUCGUAAGCCUUAGCAGCCUUGAUCUGAAGAUGCUAUCUGCCGUCGUCAAAAUUAUAUUUGGACCACAAACCCGAACAUUCAAAUGAAACUAAGAUUUUAGGGUUGGCGAGCUGGGAUUUUCGUGCUACGACUGUCACCAUGAGACCCUAUUUGGCUCCUGUAGGCUUUUUAUUGUUACAUAUGAAGACUUCCACCUUUACCUCAUGGGUCCCCAGCUGAAGGGGAGAAACGAGCUAUUCCUUCCCCUCAUUAUCUUGGCCUUAUCUGUAUCAGAACUGAAUAGAAAAACCUAGUUCGGAGAAAGACAUCAGGUAAGAGACCCACGAGAUUACCCUAGAAGCUUCUUUCCUCUCGCUGUGCAGAGGUCCUUUGUUCCUUUAUGAAACUAAGUGGCUGUACUGCUGAAACUAACAGAGCCAGACAUCUGGCUUCUAGCUUAGCCUCUCACUGUCUCGGAGGGCUUAGGCCGAUCCGUGUUCUGACCCGUGACAUUUAGGGAACUGGAUUCCAUAAUCUCUAAGGUGACUCCACUGGAAUGCUGUAUAGAGCUAUCUUCUACAAACAGCUCCUCUGAAGGCCAGCUGCAUCGUAUGUGUCAAUGCAUGCAUAUUGAUGACUGGGCGAUAAAGGAUAGAUGGUGAAAUAUAACCAGUCUCCAUUGCUAAAAAAAGUCUCAGUGCAGGAGGACGAGUUAUUACCAUCAUCUUGGAUACGAAAGACAUUGGUUUUUACAGAAGAGCAGCAUUGGGCCUUCCUGCAAGAAGUAACACGGCCCCACAAACCUUCGUAAAUCGUUUUAAUAGAUUAUUUGUCAUUAUAAA